CCUACGGGAUGCAGCAGUGAGGAAUAUUGGUCAAUGGACGAGAGUCUGAACCAGCCAAGUAGCGUGAAGGAUGACUGCCCUAUGGGUUGUAAACUUCUUUUAUCUGGGAAUAAAAUGUUCCACGUGUGGCCUCUUGUAUGUACCAUAUGAAUAAGGAUCGGCUAACUCCGUGCCAGCAGCCGCGGUAAUACGGAGGAUCCGAGCUUUAUCCGGAUUUAUUGGGUUUAAAGGGAGCGUAGGUGGAUUGUUAAGUCAGUUGUGAAAGUGUGCGGCUCAACCGGAAAAUUGCAGUUGAAACUGGCAGUCUGGAGGACAGUAGCGGUAGGCGGAAUGCGUGGUGUAGCGGUGAAAUGCUGAGAUAUCACGAAGAACUCCGAUUGCGAAGGCAGCUCACUGGACUGCAACUGACACUGAUGCUCGAAAGUGUGGGUAUCAAACAGGAUUAGAUACCCGAGUAGUC
rnacentral:rRNA from 1 species